AGUCAGAGUUGGUCACUUGGUCUGGGGUGUUGUUCCUUAAGACCAUGAUUAUAGGGGUUUCUUAAGAGAGAUUUUAGUGUUAAAGAGAGAUUUAAUUAAAUCAAAACAAAAAUAAAAGUCUGUUACCGAUCCUUAAGGAAGGAUUUUGGAAACCGAUUAUUAAGAUGGUUUUUACCCCACAUGUCAGCUUCCCAUCGCAAAUACAUUUUUUCUCUUUUUUUUUCUUUUGUUUCUCUCUGUCUUCUCCGACGAAGAUGAGAAGCAACCGCUGCGAUUUGUGCUUUCUGGACGCAUGUUUGCUCCGACCAAGGUCUCUGAUUACAUCUGUUACGAUCUCAAACAGAGGGAAUUUCUGACGGAAUUUGUCAGGUUUUAGAAAAAAGGUUGGAAUUUUUCUAUGUUUCUCGACAAAUUAAAUCAGCCUUAAAACCCUUGACGGAGUUUCUUCUCUUCGCUUGGAGAACAGAGGACGCCGCUCAUCGCAUCGUACAUUAUGGUUUUGGAAUGUAGAGAGAAAGGAGAGGUGUGAGAAUGAGUCGUGCAGCAGCUUCAAAAGGGAAGAAGAAGGGAGGAGUUUCCUUCACCAUUGAUUGUUCCAAGCCUGUGGAUGACAAGAUCAUGGAGAUUGCUUCCUUGAUUUCCUUUAGAGAAGUUUUUUUCCACAGUUUUAGUCUAAGAUGCUUAAUUGAUUUCCUUUUCUGCUUCAUUGUGACAUAACCUUCGUGUAAACCGUUUUAUUGAACCAGCAGAGAUUGAAGGAUGGCAACUUUCGAUAGUCUCUGUUUUGGAUGUUUUAGACAUCACGCUCUCCCAAUCUUCUCAGAGUACAGUUUCUGGUCUUCCCAUGUUUCAUCAAACUAUGCUGUCGUCUACAUCUAAACCAAUCCCAGUCGCGCAGCUAUCACAUCGUUGAUAUCUUACUUGCGGAAUCCUAUUAUCCAUAUUUGUGCUGCUAAAGUGCUUUCAAAGUUAUAUGCCAUGGCAGAAUCAUCACAACUCUAUAUAAUAAGCAAAGCAGGCUUUGGUCUAUACAGAUUUGAAGGCCUUGUCUAAUCGGAUUCUGACGUCUGUGUAACAAUAUGUUGACAGCUUUGUGUCCAACCUGCUUUUUCUGAGUUGUUAGCACAAUAUCAGUCUUGCAAUGAUCUGAGAUUAUGUUUAGUUGAGAGUUUGGACAACUUGACAUUGCAUCUUCGUUUGUAGUGUUCUUCUCUCCUACUCUAUAUAAAGUUUUUAUUCACCAAGCAUUUUAA